rnacentral:rRNA from 1 species
UACGUAGGUGGCAAGCGUUGUCCGGAUUUACUGGGUUUAAAGGGUGCGUAGGCGGUCUAUUAAGUCAGCGGUGAAAUACUCCAGCUUAACUGGAGGGGUGCCAUUGAUACUGAUGGACUUGAGUCAAGUCGAGGUAGGCGGAAUUGACGGUGUAGCGGUGAAAUGCUUAGAUAUCGUCAAGAACACCAAUAGUGAAGACAGCUUACUGGGCUUAAACUGACGCUGAGGCACGAAAGUGUGGGGAUCAAACAGG